rnacentral:rRNA from 1 species
CCGAGGGCUCGGCAGUCAUCCGCUUGCAAAUAUAUGUUCGCCUUUAACCGGGUGGCUAUAUAAGCAAGCAUUUUACCUUGAGAAAAACAGAGUGUUCCAGGCAGGUUUGUCCGGAAUGCAUUAGCAUGGAAUAAUAGAAUAUGACUGAAGUCGAUUUAUUGGUUUGAGGCUUUAGUAAUGAUUAAUAGGAACAGUCGGGGGCAUUGGUACUUGUCAGUCAGAGGUGAAAUUCUAGGAUUUGACAAAGACUAACAAAUGCGAAAGCAUUUGCCAAGGAUGUUUUCAUUAAUCAAGAACGAAAGUUAGGGGAUCAAAGACGAUCAGAUACCGUCCUAGUCUUAACUAUAAACUAUACCGACUCGGAUUCAGAUGAAUCAUAAAGUUCAUUUGGGACCGUAGGAGAAAUCAAAGUUUUUGGGUUCUGGGGGAAGUAUGGUCGCAAGGCUGAAACUUAAAGGAAUUGACGGUUUUGCACCACCAUGGAGUGGAGUCUGCGGCUUAAUUUGACUCAACACUGGGAAACUCAUCAGGGCAAGAAGAUUGUAGGAUUGACAGAUUGAGAGUUCUUUCUUGAUUGGUCUAGUGGUGGUGCAUGGCCGUUCUUAGUUGGUGGAGUGAUUUGUCUGGUUAAUUCCGUUAACGAACGAGACCUUAACCUGCUAACUAGUACACCGAUGACAAAUCGGUGAUACUUCUUAGAGGGACUAUGUG